UGGGGAAUUUUGGACAAUGGGCGAAAGCCUGAUCCAGCAAUGCCGCGUGUGUGAAGAAGGCCUUCGGGUUGUAAAGCACUUUUGUCCGGAAAGAAAUCCUCUGGGUUAAUACCUCGGGGGGAUGACGGUACCGGAAGAAUAAGCACCGGCUAACUACGUGCCAGCAGCCGCGGUAAUACGUAGGGUGCAAGCGUUAAUCGGAAUUACUGGGCGUAAAGCGUGCGCAGGCGGUUUUGUAAGACGGAUGUGAAAUCCCCCGGGCUUAACCUGGGAACUGCAUUCGUGACUGCAAGGCUAGAGUAUGGCAGAGGGGGGUUAGAAUUCCACGUGUAGCAGUGAAAUGCGUAGAGAUGUGGAGGAAUACCGAUGGCGAAGGCAGCCCCCUGGGCCAAUACUGACGCUCAUGCACGAAAGCGUGGGGAGCAAACAGGAUUAGAUACCCUGGUAGUCCACGCCCUAAACGAUGUCAACUAGUUGUUGGGGAUUCAUUUCCUUAGUAACGUAGCUAACGCGUGAAGUUGACCGCCUGGGGAGUACGGUCG
rnacentral:rRNA from 1 species